rnacentral:lncRNA from 1 species
UUUAUGGCAAGGUUCUUUUAAAGCCGUGGAUUUCCAUGCUGUUCGUGCGGCAUGGAGAUCACUUCCUACCGAGAGUUAAGGAGGAAAAAAAGAUCUCUGAGUUUUGAAAGAAGAUUUAACCAAAAUGCAUUUGACUCUUCUGUGGAUUUUUGUUGGCUGAUUUGGAAGGCAGGUGCCCUGGGCAUCCCCAGUGGGUUCCAAUUCUGCAGCUGCCCAGACUCCUGCAGGCAGAGGUGGAAGUGUCCCCGCUAGAAAGGCAUCCAGGAAACUCGCUUUUGACCAACUCAGAUACAGUCUGGUCUUUCUUGUUAACUGGGACUUUACCCUCUCCACUAAUGAAUAGUGUUUGUAGUUUCCAGGCAGGUUUUUUUCUUCUUUUGAAGUUCUUUGAAACCCUUAGGACGCCAAGGGAAGGAAGUUUUCAUUUUCAGCCCUUUGCAUUCUUCAAAAUGUGAUCCAGGCUUUUCCCUGUGGCGAGGGUGUCCCCUAGUGUUGACUUACAUUAUUUCCACUUGUUUUAAAUGAACUUUGAUUACCUUGACCUGUGCACAGAAAUCAAGAGAGGCAGCCCCUUUUUAGAGCUGUUAGAAAAGAACUGAAACAUCCACCUCUGGGAAAAAUAGAGUUUAGUUUGUGCAUGUGUCUCAGAAGUCAGGUGCACACAUUGAGACUGGUGCAGCCACAUGCCUGCCUUUUAGGGACUCCUUGACUGACCUGAUGCCUUCACCCAAAGGCAUAGUGAAAUGGGAAGUAUGAUUUCUGACUGGUAUGAAGUGGCUGCUUUAGAGAAAAGAUCACAUUCUUUAGUCCUAGAAACCAAAGGUGGCUUCCUGAUGCUCUUAUUCAGCACGUGCCUGUCUUUGAGGCAGGACUGGCACUGGGGUGGGGGCAUGGUUUGGGGUUACCUUAAGGACCCUGGAUAUUUCUCAGAUAGGACUUUUUCUUUUCUUUUUUUGAGACGGAGUCUUACUCUGUUGCCUAGGCUGGAGUGCAGUGGCAUGAUCUCAGCUCACUGCAACCUCCGCCUCCCCAAAUUGGCGAUUCUCCUUCCUCAGCCUCACGAGUAGCUGGGAUUACAGGCACCCGCCACCACACCCAGCUAAUUUUUGUAUUUUUAGUAGAGAUGGGGUUUCGCUGUGUUGGCCUGGCUGGUCUCAAACUCCUGACCUCAAGUGAUCUGCCUACCUCAGCCUCCCAGAGUGCUGGGAUUAUAGGCAUGAGCCACCACACCCGGCCCUGGACUUUUUCUUAAUUGAAUAAAUAUUUAUCAAGUUCUUCACUUCUAUUUGACGGUUCCUGGGCUCAACACUGGAUUAGAAAAUGAAUGGGACAGAGUUCUUCAUCUGAGACAUAGGGUGGUCCAGGUAGUAGGAGGAAGAAGGAUUGCAGCGCAGCAGUCCUCGGGACACCACCAGGGGGUGAACGAAGGAGGGACGGGGGAGCUGUGCAGGUGCCCCAGCUCCUUGGGUUGCACAGGGUUGAAGACCAGACCCAAGAAAUGGGGCCUUGACCAGCUCAGCAAACUGAGAAUGGCCUAGAUUUCAGCACACUUUCACCAGGAUUUGUCAAAUGAAGGAAGAUUCCAAGCGCAAAAUACCCUAGAUUUCAACCAGUAAAAGCUUGUCUGAAAACUUCCAAGAUCGGGUUGUACAACUUGACAUUUGAGGAAACGCUACUUCAGUAGAUGGUGCUGUGGCAUUGUUUUCUGAACAACUGAAGGAGGAGACUCCAGAGAAGGGUACCUGCUGGAGACCUGUGUGGUUUGUGGGGUGGGUUUCUUAUAUCACUGAAUCUAAAGUGGGUGCCUUUCAGAAUGUGCUUUACUAAUAAUGUGUUACUCUGCUUUUAAUUAUACUUCUAAUAAUUUUUCCCAAGAGCCUAAUUAACUUACGAUCUCACAGUUGGUAAAGAAUUACAGGAUGUCAUUGCGUGGAUUUCUGUGGGCAGUCACCCGGAGUGGUAUCUAAUUAGGGAAAAGGCAGUAUGUCCCUUUCUGGAAGUGUGUUAACUGAAAAUACGGUACUAAGCAACUGCUAAAUAAAUUAGCCCUCCUUCCUCCUGGCCGUGCGCAGAAACAUCCCUGCAGUAUGUUGCCUAUUUGUCAAAUAAGAUUAGUGUAAAUAUGGGGCAUUUACCUUUGCUAUAGAAGCUGAAAUUGCCAGGCACGGUGGCUUACGCCUGUAAUCCCAGCACUUUGGAAGGCCAAGGCUGGUGGAUUGCUUGAGCCCAGGAGUUAAAGACCAGCCUGGGCAACAUGGCAAAACUCUGCCUCUACAAAAAAUACCAAAAAUCAGCCAGGCGUGGUGGUGCGUGUGUAUUCCUAGCUACUUGGGAGGCUGACAUGGGAGGAUUACCUGAGCCCGGGAGGUUGAGGCUGCAGUGAGCCGUAAUCGUGCCACUGCACUCCUACCUGGGGAGCAGAGUGAGACCCUGUCUCCA